GCCAGGUGUGGUGGUGCACACCUGUAAUUCCAGUGGCUUGGGAGGCUGAGGCAGGAGAAUUGCAAGUUCAAAGCAAUUGCCUCAGU
rnacentral:sRNA from 1 species